rnacentral:rRNA from 1 species
UACGAAGGGGGCUAGCGUUGCUCGGAAUCACUGGGCGUAAAGGGUGCGUAGGCGGGUCUUUAAGUCAGGGGUGAAAUCCUGGAGCUCAACUCCAGAACUGCCUUUGAUACUGAAGAUCUUGAGUUCGGGAGAGGUGAGUGGAACUGCGAGUGUAGAGGUGAAAUUCGUAGAUAUUCGCAAGAACACCAGUGGCGAAGGCGGCUACCUGGACCGGUUCUGACGCUGAUGCGCGAAAGCGUGGGUAGCAAACAGG